GGCUUUUUGAAUAUAAUUUAAGGUCGGGCCUGCCCAAUGAUUAAUUUAAAUGGCCGCGGUAUACUGACCGUGCAAAGGUAGCAUAAUCAUUAGUUUUUUAAUUGAAAGCUUGUAUGAAGGGUUUAAUGAAAAAAAUACUGUCUCUAUUUAAGUUUAUUAGAAUUUUAUAUUUAAGUAAAAAAGCUUAAAUUUAUAUUGAAGACGAGAAGACCCUAUAGAGUUUAAUAUUUUAUGUAGUAAUUAGUUAUUAAGAAUUUUAAGGAUUUGUUGCAUAGAGUAUUUAAUUGGGGUGAUUGAAAAAUUAAUUAAACUUUUUUUGUAUUUUUACAUUGAUUAAUGAAUUUAUGAUCCUUUAGUUAAGAUUAAAAGAUAUAAUUACCUUAGGGAUAACAGCGUAAUUUUUUUUAGAGUUCUUAUCGAAAGAAAAGGUUGCGACCUCGAUGUUGGAUUAAAAUUAAUUAUUGGUGUAGAAGCUAAUAAAUUAGGUCUGUUCGACCUUUAAAUUUUUACAUGAUCUGAGUUUAAACCGGUGUAAG
rnacentral:rRNA from 1 species